rnacentral:lncRNA from 1 species
GGUGUGUGUAUAUAUAUAAUAUAUAUAAGGUGUAUAUAUAAUAUACAUAUAUAUGUGUAUUAUUCAGCCUCAAAAGUAAUGACAUUUUGACACAUGCUGCAAUAUGGAUAAACUUUGAAAACAUUAUGCUAAAUAAAAGAAACCAGACAUAAAAGGACAAAUAUUGUAUGGUUCCACUAUAUGAAGUGGCAGGAAUAGGCAAACCCACAGACACAGAAAGUAGAACAGAGUUUACCAGAGCCUAAGAGGAGGGCAGCGUGAGGGGUAACUGUUUAAUGAGUACAGUUUAUUUGAAAUGAUGAGAAAGUUCUGAAAAUGAAUAGUGGUGAUAGUUGCUCAACAUGGUGAAUGUACUUAAUAUCAGUGAAGUGUACAUUUUAAAAUGCUUUAAACGUUAAUUUUGUCAUUUCUAUUUUACCACAAUAAAAAAUAAUAAUAACCCACUAUAAAAUAAAGUAUAAAUUUACCUUGCAUUAGGCAUUUUAUCAAGUUUCCAUAAAACUGCACUUAUUCUAGGAGCUUAUAGUUAUUAUCAUAUUUUGGGAAGUUUAAGAAAAGCAACAGUUUAAGUUGGCCUCUUGAGGUUUCUUUCUCUCCAUUUCUGUUUUUUUCUAGAUUAAUGUUGUCACACUUCUCUUUGAAUACUAGCAUCAGCAACAACCGUGACAGCUAGUACUAGUCUCUUCAAGUAUCAAUCAGCAAUCCUACUUUGAAAAGCUGCCCGAGGCUACCGAGAAUGAACAACAAGGAUCACAGCUGUGCUGCUCCCACCCUCUCCCUGCAAAUGGGAACAGAGCCUGCCUAGCAAUGCUGGCACAGACCUGUAGUUCCCUGCCCACCUUGUUAUUGCUCAGGGCAGUGGCUUUCCUCCACCAGCCUCUUCCAGCUCCAGGUGACUCCUUUUCUCCCCUGCUUUAUAGAAAUGUAAUUGACAUAUAAUACUGUGUAAAUUUAAAAUGUGCAAUGUGAUGAAUUGAUAUAUGCAUGUGCUGCAAAAUGAUUACUACAAUAAGGUGAGUUAACAAAUCUAGUACCUCACCUAAUUACUUUGUGUGUGUGAUGGGAACAUUUAAGAGUUAGUAACUUUCAACUAUACAAUAUUGUUAACUAAAGUCACCAUGGUGUACAUUACAUCUCCAGAAUUCAUUCUUCUUAUAAGUAGACAUUUAUACUUUUUGACGAAAAUCUCAUCUCCUCCACCCCUAGCCACUGGCAACCACUAUUCUAUUCUCUGAGUUCGGCUUAUAUGGAAUUCCACAUCUAAGUGAGGUCAUACAGUAUUGGUCUUUCUCUGACUUAUUUCACUUAGCAUAAUGUCCUUAAUGUUUCCACAAGUGGCAGGAUUUCCUUUUUCUUUAAAUGACUGAAUAAUGUUCAUAAUAAUAUAUACAUAUAUAUCACGUCUUCUUGAUUCAUUCAUCCAUUAAGGAACAGUAUAAUUAUGGAAACUCAGCAGUUCCUACAAAUGACUAAGGUAACAACAGACAAAAUCUAGGUACUAUUUACAAUGGGAAAAAAUCCCCAGUGGUAGCAAUAGAUUCUGGCUGUCAAUUAGGCUACACCCUGUAGGCAGAAAGGCCAUAUUUUGAGAGUAGCUGGUUUGAAUGAGUC